rnacentral:rRNA from 1 species
UACGAAGGGGGCUAGCGUUGUUCGGAAUUACUGGGCGUAAAGCGCACGUAGGCGGAUAUUUAAGUCAGGGGUGAAAUCCCGGGGCUCAACCCCGGAACUGCCUUUGAUACUGGGUAUCUCGAGUCCGAGAGAGGUAAGUGGAAUUCCGAGUGUAGAGGUGAAAUUCGUAGAUAUUCGGAAGAACACCAGUGGCGAAGGCGACUUACUGGACACAUAUUGACGCUGAGGUGCGAAAAGCGUGGGGAGCAAACAGGG